rnacentral:tRNA from 1 species
GUUUCCGGUAGUGUAGUGGUUAUCACGCUUGCCUAACACGCGAAAAGGUCCCCUGUUCGAAACAGGGCGGAAACA